AAGACAAAAAAAUAUAUAUAUAGAAGAAAAAAAAAAAUCCAAACCUGUGCUCUCUCUUUUCGCUCUCCCCGUGCAACACCCAGCUAACAUGGCAACUUUGCCGUCCGUUCACCAAACAAGAUGCCGUUAUCACCAAAAUGAAGCUUGGACCUCCAAGAGCAAAGCCCAACAAAUCUUGACAAGUUUCGUCAACUGUAGCCACCAGAAUCAUGCUCGAAAGUUUGUGGCCAUCGGGAAGAAAAUCGUCCGAUCUGGACAUUCCGACAGUCGUUGGAAGAAGCCGAGACCAUUAUUCGACUUGUCUCGGGGAGGCACACCUAACCCCUCCUUCGUUCAGCCAAAAUAGUCACCGGAAUCCCAUUACCCGUGUAGGACCGAAUGGGUCAAGAUUGACCCGAGUUGACUAAGAUUUGACCAGCUCGAUUUCGCAUCUCUGAUGAUUGAUUCAAACUCUAGACAUGACAGUGAACUCGUAUUCAGCAAUCUCGACAUCCGACAACCGAUUUAGAUGCUCGCUAGAAAAUACUAUGGUAUACGCGUAUACGUACUCUAUGUGUACAGGUGAUCAAGGAGAUUGGACCUGAUGCUGUAGAUGCAUAGUAUUUGUACUCAGCUAUCGAAGUAGGGAUUUCUCACCCUUUUGUUUUGAAACACCUUCAAGCCACCCAAUUGCUUGAAUGGUGAGACAAGAUUUAUUGCAUAGGCUACAAAUCAGCAGGAGGACGUGUGACGGAGGUGGCCUGGACUUUUGUGUGUUCUUUUGUGUUUAUUUGACACGUGUGUGUGGAUAUAUAUAUGUCUGGUGUGAUUUUGGCAUGUUUUAGUUGUUUAAGUACAUUGAUGUACUAUGGUUAUGACUGGAGAUUGAUGUAUGGUUUUGUUUUGUUGGCCGGGAGCAAUGCCCAGUGACUACUGUGUGUUUGAUGAUGAUGAUGAUGAUGAUGAUGAUGAUAGGUAUGUGUUUGAUGGUGGACCUACGGGUCAGUUAAUUUUGAUGGUAUUAGAAGUGUUUUUCUUUGUG